rnacentral:tRNA from 1 species
GCGCCCUUAGCUCAGUUGGUAGAGCAGCUGACUCUUAAUCAGCGGGCCGAAGGUUCGAGUCCUUCAGGGCGCA